rnacentral:misc_RNA from 1 species
CAGAGCAUCAUGCCCUUCGGGGUAGAUCUCCCACCCUAUGUAUUUAUACCUUUUGUUGCUUUGGCGGGCCGCCUCGGCCACCGGCUCCGGCUGGUGCGUGCCCGCCAGAGAGGACCUCAAACUCUGAAUGUUAGUGUCGUCUGAGUACUAUAUAAUAGUUA